ensembl:snRNA U6 U6 spliceosomal RNA
GCGCACACUUUGGCAGCACACAUACUAAAAUUGGUACAAUACAGAGAAGAUCAGCAUGUCCCCUGUGCAAGGACAUGCAAAUUCAUGAAGCAUUUCACAAAUUA